UACGGAGGGUGCGAGCGUUGUCCGGAUUUAUUGGGCGUAAAGAGCUCGUAGGCGGCUCGUCGCGUCGACCGUGAAAACCCGCGGCUUAACUGCGGGCUUGCGGUUGAUACGGGCGGGCUAGAGUUCGGUAGGGGAGACUGGAAUUCCUGGUGUAGCGGUGAAAUGCGCAGAUAUCAGGAGGAACACCGGUGGCGAAGGCGGGUCUCUGGGCCGAUACUGACGCUGAGGAGCGAAAGUGUGGGGAGCGAACAGG
rnacentral:rRNA from 1 species